rnacentral:rRNA from 1 species
ACUCAAAUGAAUUGACGGGGGCCCGCACAACCAGUGGAGCAUGUGGUUUAAUUCGAUGGUACGCGAGGAACCUUACCUAGGUUUGACAUACCGAUGGUACUGACCCGAAAGGGAAGGGAUCCGUAGCAAUACGGAAGUCGGUACAGGUGGUGCAUGGCUGUCGUCAGCUCGUGCCGUGAGGUGUUGGGUUAAGUCCUGGAACGAGCGCAACCCUUGCUUGCAGUUACUCGCCUGCAAAGGCAGAACACUGCAGGGACUGCCGUGGUUAACACGGAGGAAGGUGGGGAUGAUGUCAAGUCAUCACGCCCCUUAUACCUAGGGCUACACACGUGCUACAAUGGUCGGCACAGAUGGAUGCGAAACCGCAAGGCGGAGCAAAUCCCAAAAAGCCGGCCCCAGUUCGGAUUGCAGGCUGCAAUUCGCCUGCAUGAAGCUGGAAUUGGUAGUAAUCGCGGAUCAGCCACGCCGCGGUGAAUACGUUCUCGGGCCUUGCACACACCGCCCGU